rnacentral:lncRNA from 7 species
AAUCUUCCCUUCCUUUAUAGCACCUUUCAGUUGUGCUGGUCCUUUUGUCAUCAUACCUCUGUUGUAGCACCUUUCUCAUUGUAUUGAUCUGUCUAAUUGCUAUAGUUUCUCGAUGAUACUUUUCUUCUCUAGUGUUUUCUGCUCCUUAGUGUUGAUAGUUGUACCAUAACAAAGUCCUGUGUGUGUCUAUACUACCAGCUUGGUUUCCUCAACUGAAAGUCAAACAGGAAUAGAGGAGCUCAAGGGCUUGAUACGAGGUUCUGAAACUUGACCUCAGCCACCUAUACUCUCCCCUGUAAUUCAAGGCAAAUUAUUCAGUCUUUUCACCCCUUUUCUGCAAAAUAGGGCCAUAUCUCUGCCUGGUUUAGUUCAGAUAAGGAGCUUAUACCUGCUUUGUGCACAUGUGUCAUCGUGCACCACAGCUUCUGGAUUUUUAGGGGCAGCUGCUGUGACUGAGUAGUAAGCAAAUGCUGGAAAUAGCCUUUCUGUUGUCUUGGUAGUCUUUGUGUCUUCAUUCUGAAAAGCUGGAUCUCUAUGUGCAGUAAUACCUUGAAUAAGAUAGGAAGGGAAAGCAGUGUUCCUUGCCAGCUGCCUUGGAAACAGAAAUAGUUAUUUUCUUAAGCAGACUUACUAAUUGUGUAGGAUUACCAAAUAAUUUGGCUAAUGGCUGCUUGCUUCCUCCAGCCUCUCUUGAUUUCUAUCAGUAACUGUCGGUGAUCAGUUUUAGUGCUUUCCUUCCCUUUUAGGUGCAGUGCUGUCUGUAUACCUGCGUUUGCAGAUGCAAGUUGGUCUCAGCUCAUUAUAUUCACUGGGAGAACAAACAAUUCAGCAGGAUAUUGUUUAAAUAUGCACUCAAAUUAGCAACAGUUUAAGAACAUUUACAUUUUGUGUAUAGAACAGGAAAUGGAAAGAUUGAAUGGAAGAUAGCAUAAUAGAGUGCACAAAUGAAAUUGUCUUAAAUAUCACCGCGUGGGCAAACGUCAUCAAUGUGGGCAUUUAAAACCUCAAAAAUAAGAUCUACUUUGCUUAGAGGAGCAGAGCUAGUCUUGUAUCUCUUUAUAGGGAUAAAUUUUAUCUUACAGCAAUGCCCAUACUGGUUGAAAUAAACUGCUUUGGGGAGUUGGUGUGCUCGUAAGCAUACAUACUGGCUGGGGGAGAACUUAAGUUACUAAAGCUUUCUCUCCUGGUGCAUGCAGCUUCAUUCAUACAUUGCAACCAUUACAGUAAAAAUGUUAUUGGUUUGCAUAUUCCAGCAGAGAACUGCUGAGCAGUCAGAGCUGCUCUUGAAAGCAAUGUAAAACCCUGAUCUGAACAUGUGUUAACUGCCUCUAUCAGAUCCUAGGCACUGGAAAUUAAGUGCUUGAAGUUAGUGGUCUCCCUUGACCACAAAGGACCUCUUUCUCUCAGUUUGCUGCCAGUCAUCUGGACAUUAUGUCUUUUAUCUCUUAGAGAUGCUGUGAAAAAUAAAUUGUUUCUGAAAAACUCAAAAAUAGAGUGCUGAGAGCAAUAAAAAUCCCUGUGAGGAGCUUAAUUGUGUCUUCGGGGAAGGUUUAGAGUAAUAUGCUGUAAAUAAGGUGUAGGACCUCUCACUGAUCCACAGGGGAAGUGAUAAAGUACUGAACAGCUCUUGGUUGAGUGAGGAGAGCUUACUUUGUUCAUCGUGGUCCCUACAUCUGGAGAGAGCACAGAAGAAGUGAAAGAAGAGUACAGUCAUGGGAGAGGGGAUUGAUUGGCAUCAGUGCAAUGCAGCAAAUGUAAGGUUGUACCAGACAACGUCAGAAAGAUAUUCUCUCUGUUUUGAGAUCUUUGCUUCUGAAAUUGACUUUUUGGUGACUAUGUAGUCAGCAGAGAACUUAACUGCCCCUGUCCCUUGGCAAGCAUCUUCUUGAGUUAUUUGCUACCACAAGUUCUGAAUCCUGCUCCUUCCAAAGCAUCAGCUGUAAAGGGGAUCCAUCACUUGGCAGCAGUAGCAGAUCAUAAUCCAGAGCUGAACAGCAAGAUCAUCAAAGCAAUUGUAACGUUUAUGGCCUCUCAAUUCUCCAGGAGUAUAUGGAGGUACAGACACAGUGCUAUUACCUUGGGGAAACCAUUAAAGGUUGCUUCGUGCUAUGCUAAGGACUUUUAUUCAUCAAGAGUAAUUACCUCUAUCUUGAUAAGAAGUGAGAAGAUGACAGUAAGAACUACUGUGUCACAUCAGGUGCCUCUGAAAAUCUCCAAGUAAUGCUCGUAGAGAGGUGAUGGUGGCAGCAGCAUCACUACCUCAGCUGGAAUGAGAGCUCCAGAAUUAUUGUGGGCAUAUCCCAAGGUUUCAGCUAGCAAGAACCCUGGUGGGUCUACCUGGCAUUGUCUACUCCAUUGGACUCCCAGAAGCUGCUCUGCCAUCUGUCCGUACCCUGAAUAUCAUCGGCCUGUUAUAAGCACAAGUCAGAGCGGAGACCACAUCUAUUCCAGGGCAAUUGUUUUUCUCCCACCAGCCUGAAAUCAACUCCACUGCUCACACUGUCCUGAUAAGUGACUGCUCUUUGGGAUUGUGUUCCUUGUUGCUUUAUCUUCCUAAAACAAAAGAUGGGUUCGUCUGAAAGGAAGACAGCCUGACAUCUCUCAGGCCAGUGGAGCUUCCUUUGCUCUCCAGCCCCGUAAAGCUGUCCCCACUAUUUACCACGUACGCUCCCACUGUGUCCCAUAUGCUUCAAUCAUAAUGCUUAACUCUGUGGGCUUUUUUUAAUUUAAAGUAGUGUCUAUUGAUACCCUGUUGAUCUGACACAAAAGCAAUAUGCCUAUUUUGUCGAAAGGGCGGACUGAGAGACUGCUGGGGGUGUGUGGCUCUGAGGACAUGACACUUCGCAUUUCUUUAUGCUCGUUAGACAAAAGAGGGCAUAAUUAGACUUCAGGCGGGCUUCUGUCAUAAAGCAAUCGGAGGGGAAUUUCUUUAUAUGUCAGGUUUGCAACAGUGUCUUCUAUAGCUAUAAAAUGUACUCAAGUAUUUCCAAGACCUGGCUGGCAUUGAACUUGAUGUGAGCUUUGUGUACCCACAGCUAGAGGCCUAUCGUUUGAAUGCUACAUCCAUUUGCUGUUU